GGGGAUUUAGCUCAGUGGUAGAGCACUUGCCUAGCAGGCACAAGGCCCUGGGUUCGGUCCCCAGCUCCG
rfam:Rattus norvegicus chromosome 10, whole genome shotgun sequence.